GUCUACGGUCAUACCACCCUGAACGCACCUGAUCUUGUCUGAUCUUGGAAGCUAAGCAGGGUCGGGCCUUGUUUAGUACUUGGAUGGGAGAUUUGAGUUAGAGAUAUUAGUGUGAACU
rnacentral:rRNA from 1 species